rnacentral:lncRNA from 1 species
CUGUGACUAUGUGUUCAUUUAUUAGGGAAUAAGUCACAUUUUAAACUAAAUCUCUCCAUUUCCCUUUCUAAAUUUUGAGCUUAUCUAGGCAAAACAUUCCUUGAGUUACCUUCUAACCUACCUACUAUUUGGAAUAUUAGUGGAAGAAUGCUUAUGCUAAGGGAAAAUGCAAGCUAUACGAUCUGAACUAACUCUGUCAUUUCAGGAAAAAUUCUAGGAUCUUGAGAUCUAUUUCCAAUAGAGCACCCCAAAUAGGCUAGUUCAUUUUAAGUAGGGCAUAUUUGAACAUUAGGAGAGCAAAAAAUCAUAUUAAUUAUGAGAAUUUAUCCAGUAACUACUUUUGUGGCAGUGGUCAUUAGAUACUCACAUGACGUCACUGUUUGUAUUGAAAAGCCAGUUAUAAUAAAAAUGCACUGCCCUCUCCAUAUCCCACCUGCCAUGUGCCUGCUAGGUACUAACUUUGACCACAAAAAGAUCACUUGGAAUUAGAUGCAUUUUGCCUUGCUAUUACCUUUUGUGUGUAUACCUACUUUUCUGUGUUCUUUUUAAUGAAUGGGAAAAGAUAUCCUCUAUAUUGUUUUUUCUCAAACAUUUUUUCUUAUAUUGUCU